rnacentral:lncRNA from 1 species
CUACCCUUGGCACAGAUGGUACUUGUAUUUCUACGAGAGAAUCUUGGGCAGUUUGAUCGACGACCCCACCUUCGGUCUUCCUUUCUGGAACUGGGACAAUCCCCCCGGAAUGGUCAUGCCCGACAUGUUCGCGGUAACCACUUCUCCGCUUUACGAUGCCCGCCGCAACCUGGAGCACCUGCCGCCGGCGGCGGCGGACCUCAACUUCGCCUCAAAGCCCACCACCGACCCCUCCAAGAUAGUUACCAACAAUUUGACCACAAUGUACGGCGAGAUGGUCCGGAACGUCUCCAAGCUGGAGGACUUCUACGGAGCCAAAUA